GUUGAACGCUGGCGGCAGGCCUAACACAUGCAAGUCGAGCGGACGGACGGGGAUCUUUCCUUUAUUCAGCUGCGGACGGGCGGGUAAUUCACACGUAGCUGACCGACCGUUAAGGCUAAGGUCACGUCGGGGACGCUGAUAUAGCACCGGAUAAUAUUGUGAACCGGAUGGUUCAACAGAGCACAAGCUUCUUGCUGACACUAGUAGAUAGUUCCUAGCUGCAUUAGCUAGUUGGUAAGGUAACGGCUUACCAAGGCAACGAUGCAUAGCCGACCUGAGAGGGUGAUCGGCCACACUGGAACUGAGACACGGUCCAGACUCCUACGGGAGGCAGCAGUAGGGAAUCUUCCGCAAUGGGCGAAAGCCUGACGGAGCAACGCCGCGUGAGUGAUGAAGGUCUUCGGAUCGUAAAACUCUGUUAUUAGGGAAGAACAUAUGUGUAAGUAACUGUGCACAUCUUGACGGUACCUAAUCAGAAAGCCACGGCUAACUACGUG
rnacentral:rRNA from 1 species